rnacentral:rRNA from 1 species
AUUGAACGCUGGCGGCAUGCUUUACACAUGCAAGUCGAACGGCAGCACGGGCUUCGGCCUGGUGGCGAGUGGCGAACGGGUGAGUAAUGCGUCGGAACGUGCCGAGUAAUGGGGGAUAACGCAUCGAAAGGUGUGCUAAUACCGCAUACGCUCUGAGGAGGAAAGCGGGGGACCUUCGGGCCUCGCGUUAUUCGAGCGGCCGACGUCUGAUUAGCUAGUUGGUGAGGUAAUGGCUCACCAAGGCGACGAUCCCUAGCUGUUCUGAGAGGAUGAUCAGCCACACUGGGACUGAGACACGGCCCAGACUCCUACGGGAGGCAGCAGUGGGGAAUAUUGCACAAUGGGGGAAACCCUGAUGCAGCCAUGCCGCGUGUGUGAAGAAGGCCUUCGGGUUGUAAAGCACUUUCAGUAGGGAGGAAAGGGUGAGUCUUAAUACGGCUCAUCUGUGACGUUACUUACAGAAGAAGGACCGGCUAACUCCGUGCCAGCCGCCGCCGUAACAC